AGCGUACACGGUGGAUGCCCUGGCAGUCAGAGGCGAUGAAGGACGUGCUAAUCUGCGAUAAGCGUCGGUAAGGUGAUAUGAACCGUUAUAACCGGCGAUUUCCGAAUGGGGAAACCCAGUGUGUUUCGACACACUAUCAUUAACUGAAUCCAUAGGUUAAUGAGGCGAACCGGGGGAACUGAAACAUCUAAGUACCCCGAGGAAAAGAAAUCAACCGAGAUUCCCCCAGUAGCGGCGAGCGAACGGGGAGCAGCCCAGAGCCUGAAUCAGUGUGUGUGUUAGUGGAAGCGUCUGGAAAGGCGCGCGAUACAGGGUGACAGCCCCGUACACAAAAAUGCACAUGCUGUGAGCUCGAUGAGUAGGGCGGGACACGUGGUAUCCUGUCUGAAUAUGGGGGGACCAUCCUCCAAGGCUAAAUACUCCUGACUGACCGAUAGUGAACCAGUACCGUGAGGGAAAGGCGAAAAGAACCCCGGCGAGGGGAGUGAAAAAGAACCUGAAACCGUGUACGUACAAGCAGUGGGAGCCUCUUUUAUGGGGUGACUGCGUACCUUUUGUAUAAUGGGUCAGCGACUUAUAUUCUGUAGCAAGGUUAACCGAAUAGGGGAGCCGAAGGGAAACCGAGUCUUAACUGGGCGUUAAGUUGCAGGGUAUAGACCCGAAACCCGGUGAUCUAGCCAUGGGCAGGUUGAAGGUUGGGUAACACUAACUGGAGGACCGAACCGACUAAUGUUGAAAAAUUAGCGGAUGACUUGUGGCUGGGGGUGAAAGGCCAAUCAAACCGGGAGAUAGCUGGUUCUCCCCGAAAGCUAUUUAGGUAGCGCCUCGUGAACUCAUCUCCGGGGGUAGAGCACUGUUUCGGCAAGGGGGUCAUCCCGACUUACCAACCCGAUGCAAACUGCGAAUACCGGAGAAUGUUAUCACGGGAGACACACGGCGGGUGCUAACGUCCGUCGUGAAGAGGGAAACAACCCAGACCGCCAGCUAAGGUCCCAAAGUCAUGGUUAAGUGGGAAACGAUGUGGGAAGGCCCAGACAGCCAGGAUGUUGGCUUAGAAGCAGCCAUCAUUUAAAGAAAGCGUAAUAGCUCACUGGUCGAGUCGGCCUGCGCGGAAGAUGUAACGGGGCUAAACCAUGCACCGAAGCUGCGGCAGCGACGCUUAUGCGUUGUUGGGUAGGGGAGCGUUCUGUAAGCCUGCGAAGGUGUGCUGUGAGGCAUGCUGGAGGUAUCAGAAGUGCGAAUGCUGACAUAAGUAACGAUAAAGCGGGUGAAAAGCCCGCUCGCCGGAAGACCAAGGGUUCCUGUCCAACGUUAAUCGGGGCAGGGUGAGUCGACCCCUAAGGCGAGGCCGAAAGGCGUAGUCGAUGGGAAACAGGUUAAUAUUCCUGUACUUGGUGUUACUGCGAAGGGGGGACGGAGAAGGCUAUGUUGGCCGGGCGACGGUUGUCCCGGUUUAAGCGUGUAGGCUGGUUUUCCAGGCAAAUCCGGAAAAUCAAGGCUGAGGCGUGAUGACGAGGCACUACGGUGCUGAAGCAACAAAUGCCCUGCUUCCAGGAAAAGCCUCUAAGCAUCAGGUAACAUCAAAUCGUACCCCAAACCGACACAGGUGGUCAGGUAGAGAAUACCAAGGCGCUUGAGAGAACUCGGGUGAAGGAACUAGGCAAAAUGGUGCCGUAACUUCGGGAGAAGGCACGCUGAUAUGUAGGUGAAGCGACUUGCUCGUGGAGCUGAAAUCAGUCGAAGAUACCAGCUGGCUGCAACUGUUUAUUAAAAACACAGCACUGUGCAAACACGAAAGUGGACGUAUACGGUGUGACGCCUGCCCGGUGCCGGAAGGUUAAUUGAUGGGGUCAGCGCAAGCGAAGCUCUUGAUCGAAGCCCCGGUAAACGGCGGCCGUAACUAUAACGGUCCUAAGGUAGCGAAAUUCCUUGUCGGGUAAGUUCCGACCUGCACGAAUGGCGUAAUGAUGGCCAGGCUGUCUCCACCCGAGACUCAGUGAAAUUGAACUCGCUGUGAAGAUGCAGUGUACCCGCGGCAAGACGGAAAGACCCCGUGAACCUUUACUAUAGCUUGACACUGAACAUUGAGCCUUGAUGUGUAGGAUAGGUGGGAGGCUUUGAAGUGUGGACGCCAGUCUGCAUGGAGCCGACCUUGAAAUACCACCCUUUAAUGUUUGAUGUUCUAACGUUGACCCGUAAUCCGGGUUGCGGACAGUGUCUGGUGGGUAGUUUGACUGGGGCGGUCUCCUCCUAAAGAGUAACGGAGGAGCACGAAGGUUGGCUAAUCCUGGUCGGACAUCAGGAGGUUAGUGCAAUGGCAUAAGCCAGCUUGACUGCGAGCGUGACGGCGCGAGCAGGUGCGAAAGCAGGUCAUAGUGAUCCGGUGGUUCUGAAUGGAAGGGCCAUCGCUCAACGGAUAAAAGGUACUCCGGGGAUAACAGGCUGAUACCGCCCAAGAGUUCAUAUCGACGGCGGUGUUUGGCACCUCGAUGUCGGCUCAUCACAUCCUGGGGCUGAAGUAGGUCCCAAGGGUAUGGCUGUUCGCCAUUUAAAGUGGUACGCGAGCUGGGUUUAGAACGUCGUGAGACAGUUCGGUCCCUAUCUGCCGUGGGCGCUGGAGAACUGAGGGGGGCUGCUCCUAGUACGAGAGGACCGGAGUGGACGCAUCACUGGUGUUCGGGUUGUCAUGCCAAUGGCACUGCCCGGUAGCUAAAUGCGGAAGAGAUAAGUGCUGAAAGCAUCUAAGCACGAAACUUGCCCCGAGAUGAGUUCUCCCUGACUCCUUGA
rnacentral:rRNA from 1 species